AGGCAGCGAGGAGGCGGGAGCGCGCGGUCUGAGAGGUUCGGAGCAAAAUCGCGGGCGGGGGGCUGGAGAGACAGGUUUGGGUACCGCGUGCAUUCAGCAGGCGGAGCCUUGCACACCGACAUCCGGCUAGGUGAGGCCAGUGGCCCGAGGUGGGUGCGGUACCGCACGGCUGGAGACUGAAGCGGGUCCUAAGAACCUGUUGAGUCAAUUUUUAGUGAAAAGCAUUGACCUAGGAGCCAAGAGCCAUCUCUUCACUAAUUUAAUACUGUCCACGUCAUCUUGCCUCUCUGGAUCUCAGUUCCCUGAUCGGUAAAAAGGAGAUAAAAAAUUCUUUAUCUAUCUGAAGGUAAGUGAUCAGUUAAGAAAGCAAAAAAUAAAAACAGAUAGGCACAAAGCUUAGUAAAUCUUUU
ensembl:lncRNA